AACGAACGCUGGCGGCGUGCCUAACACAUGCAAGUCGAACGGAAUGAGGGGGCUUGCUCCUUCAUUUAGUGGCGCACGGGUGAGUAACGCGUAGAUAAUCUGCCUGAUGAUCUGGGAUAACACUUCGAAAGGGGUGCUAAUACCGGAUAAGCCCACGGUUUCUUAGGAGACUGCGGGAAAAGGGGGGACCAUUUGGCCUUCUGUCAUCAGAUGAGUCUGCGUACCAUUAGCUAGUUGGUAGGUAAAGGCCUACCAAGGCUACGAUGGUUAGCUGGUCUGAGAGGAUGAUCAGCCACACUGGAACUGAGACACGGUCCAGACUCCUACGGGAGGCAG
rnacentral:rRNA from 1 species